GCAGCCGCCGCGGGAAUACGUAGGGUGCAAGCGUUGUCCGGAAUUAUUGGGCGUAAAGAGCUCGUAGGCGGUUUGUCGCGUCUGCUGUGAAAACGCGAGGCUCAACCUCGCGCCUGCAGUGGGUACGGGCAGACUAGAGUGUGGUAGGGGAGAUUGGAAUUCCUGGUGUAGCGGUGGAAUGCGCAGAUAUCAGGAGGAACACCGAUGGCGAAGGCAGAUCUCUGGUCCCCACUGACGCUGGGGUGCGAAAGCAUGGGGAGCAAACAGGAUCAGAUACCCGCGUAGUCCCUGUCUCUUAUACA
rnacentral:rRNA from 1 species